rnacentral:tRNA from 1 species
GGCCGAGUGGCGGAAUGGCAGACGCUAGGGAUUUAAAAUCCCUUGACCGUAAGGUUGUGCGGGUUCGAGUCCCGCCUCGGCUA